rnacentral:misc_RNA from 1 species
GAUGAAGAACGUAGCGAAUUGCGAUACGUAAUGUGAAUUGCAGAUUUUCAGUGAAUCAUCGAAUCUUUGAACGCACCUUGCGCUCCUUGGCAUUCCGAGGAGCAUGCCUGUUUGAGUGUCAUUAAAUUCUCAAGACCUGUCUGCUUUUUUGAUAGGUAUUGGAUUUUGGGGGUUGCAGGCUGUUUCAAAUAAAUAGCCUUGCUCUCCUUGAAUGUAUUAGUGGAGAAAAGCCAUUGAACUCCAUUGGUGUGAUAAAACCUAUCAAUGCCAGGAGCAAUAUCACUACUUCUCUCUGCUGUCUAACUGUGACUGUCUGUAUUAAUUAGUAUGGAUGGGGACAACUUGACCAACUUGACCUCAAAUCAGGUAGGACUACCCGCUGAACUUAAGCAUAUCAAUAAGCGGAGGA